rnacentral:rRNA from 1 species
UACAGAGGGGGCAAGCGUUGUUCGGAAUUAUUGGGCGUAAAGGGCGCGUAGGCGGCUUUGCAAGUGACGGGUGAAAUCCCUCGGCUUAACCGAGGAACUGCCUGUCAAACUGCAUGGCUUGAGACCGGGAGAGGUGAGUGGAAUUCCCAGUGUAGCGGUGAAAUGCGUAGAUAUUGGGAGGAACACCAGUGGCGAAGGCGGCUCACUGGACCGGUACUGACGCUGAUGCGCAAAAGCGUGGGGAGCAAACAGG